rnacentral:SRP_RNA from 1 species
GCCGGGCAUGGUGGCUCAUGCCUGUAAUCCCAGCACUUUGGGAGGCUGAGGCAGGCGGAUCACCUGAGGUCAGGAGUUCAAGACCAGCCUGGCCAACAUGGUGAAACCUUGUCUCUA